rnacentral:rRNA from 1 species
UGAAGCUGGAAUUGCUAGUAACCACAGGUCAGCAUACUGUGGUGAAUACGUUCCCGGGCCUUGUACACACCGCCCGUCACACCAUGAGAGUUGAGAAUACCCGAAGCCCAUGUCAAAGUGGUCGAAGGUAGGCUUGAUGAUUGGGGUGAAGUCGUAACAAGGUACC